UACGGGGGGGGCAAGCGUUGUUCGGAAUUACUGGGCGUAAAGGGCUCGUAGGCGGCCAACUAAGUCAGACGUGAAAUCCCUCGGCUUAACCGGGGAACUGCGUCUGAUACUGGAUGGCUUGAGUUUGGGAGAGGGAUGCGGAAUUCCAGGUGUAGCGGUGAAAUGCGUAGAUAUCUGGAGGAACACCGGUGGCGAAGGCGGCAACCUGGACCAACACUGACGCUGAGGAGCGAAAGCCAGGGGAGCAAACGGG
rnacentral:rRNA from 1 species